rnacentral:rRNA from 1 species
GACAGAGGUGCCGAGCGUUAGGCGGAAUCACUGGGCUUAAAGCGUGUGUAGGCGGGCGGGCAAGUACCUUGUGAAAUCCCACGGCUCAACCGUGGAACGGCUGGGUAUACUGCCUGUCUUGAGCCAACUAGGGGCGAGCGGAACAGACGGUGGAGCGGUGAAAUGCGUAGAUAUCGGAAGGAACACCUGUGGCGAAAGCGGCUCACUGGACCAUUACUGACACUGAGGCACGAAAGCUAGGGGAGCAAACAGG